rnacentral:lncRNA from 1 species
UCUACUCUUCUUCCCUCAUCCUUAUAACUUACGGUUUGCUGCAAAGGACGCCAUCUAGUAUGAGAGAAAGAGAGAAAGAUGUGGCUGGAGAGAAUGCUUCCACUCAAGCUUCUUCCUGGCGGGCUUGGCUUAGCGAGGCUUGAGGAAUGAGCCAUGUGUGUGAAACAACUCUCUAAUACUAGGCACCCACCUCUGUGGUGGAACAGUGGCAGGAGUGACACAGUCAUGAUGGAAGGAUAACAGUUUCCAAAGAGGCAAACAAUCUUUGGCUUCUCUGAAAUACUGUGAAGCCUCUGCUAGGUGAGACUUCCUACAGAGAGUUCUCAGGAAGAGGAAGGAGUGAAUUGCUAAGGCUUCCUUCAGCCACAGGUCUUAUUUCUGCUUCAGGACUACAGUGAACCUCUCUCUUCUUCCUUCUCUAUACCCUGAGGGCCUCUGCUCCCCAAAGCACAAAUGUCUUCUGAUUCUUUAGUCUCCUUAACCAGGGUGAUGAUUUGGGGUGAGUGAAUUCCAUCCCAAUGUCUCCAGUGUUUUGGGGAAGUAAAUUUCCCAAAGACAAAGCCACUAAUUGGGUCGGCACGAAACUCCAAAAUUGUCUGUGCUCACAUAGCUAAAAAGAAAGUCACACGAAGACACUGUUUUCUCUACUACUUCACAUUAUGAUGUCCAAGUUCACAUCCUGGGAACAUGAGGAGCCUGAACCUUAUGGCUAGUUACAAGCCCCUAAAAGGAACAGACACCUCAUUUUUCUACCCACUGGUCCAGGCCAGGGCUAUCCCAGCUGAAGCACCACAGACAUGAUAUAGAUGCAAAGCACCAGGCACAGGAGGAGUGGGGACACCACCAAGCGGGGACCAAAGGCCCACGAGGGUAUAGAGUAUCUGCCAGAGCAUACUAGGUCAUGACAAAGACCAAAGGCAUUCCAGACCACCAAGGAAGUCCAAAGGAGCUCCCCCAGAAACAGCCCAAGUCCCCAGAUAAACUGACCCUUCCUCACCCAGGGAAAUAGACAAGCAGCCAGGCCUGAGAGCUUGAUCAGAUUCAGCCAUACACACUCAGCAGUAAGCUCAGAGCCAUGGCAAUCAAACCUCAGGCUCACCCAAAGGCCAAAGGAGAAGCAGCCACAGCCUGGGUCUAGGGCUCCAGCUCAGAGCCACCAUCUCUUCAGACGCUGGCUGCCAAGCAGAGCUAUAAAAUGUGCCUCGACUUAAUUUUUCCAUGGACACAACCUCAAGAUGGGCCAGCCAGACUCUGGAGGAGCUGGGAUUCCAAAGGCUCACUGCCUCUCUGCUCUGGGAUUGGCAGCUGGAGUUGGGGAGAGGGAAUUAUUUGGGGGUCGGCAUUGCCACCCCCUGGGCCAUUGGGCUCCCCACCCUACUCCACCCCACACCAGCUUGGCAGCCUUGCUUGUGCUUCCUGCUGCGAUUGCUCCUCCAACAUCAAAGUCACCGCUGUCGGGAGCUGAAAAUGAGGGACAAGUAUAGGCCAGGAGAGCAGCGCCUUCUCCCAGCACCGGCGAACUCAGGCCUGAGGGUCCCUCUCCCUCUUUCAAGCUUUCAGUCUCCUUUUGCUGCAGUAUCCUUAUAAGGGAGAAUCCAAUUCUACCCUCCGCCCGACUAAGAAACGUACACAUUCCCCAGGCUAGAUGCUGACUUCUCACCCAGUCCACAGAAGGCACUAACCCCAUCACAGGACAGGUUUUGCUUUUUUUAUUUCUUAUCUUAAAUAAACAAACCCCAAAGCCAUUGACUGGUUCAGAUCGCCCUGCAGCUGGGAGCCAGGAAGUGUGUUUAGCGAGAAGGGGGUGGAGACGCGGGUGCCUGGAGCCCCAGAGGCCCUGAAGCUGCUGGAGUGGAGUGGAGUGGGGUGAGGGGCAACCUGCUCUGCCCGGCGGGCAGGAGCUCAGGCUCCCACGGCGUCCGCCGCUCAGCCCGCCGCCAGGAACCCUCGGCUGCUUCCAUUGUUGCACCUCCGCUGUUGCCAUGUUGGAGGGAGAGCCCCCUGACCUCGGCUGCCUCCACUCUGGGGGCACUUUACAGACGCUGGGGCCGAUGCAACCCGCAGGAUGCGUGUCCUACCUGCGCUAGCUGCUGGCUCUGCUGCAACAUCCGACGUGUCUUGUGCCUGGCGACGUGGGCUGCUCGCUCCGCGCCUCCCGGGCUCGCUCUGCGGCUCCAGGCGCCUCUUGCACCAGCGCGAGAGGAGCUGGCCGGCCGCACGCCGCCUGCUCCUGGGCCGCUCCCCUCUCCAGGCUCCGCACAGACCCUAGGCUCCAAGGGGCAGAGGGAGAGGCAGCAAAGGGCGCAAGGACCAGCUUGUGGGGGUGGGGAGGGGUGCUCUCCGCCGAGAGCGUGCGCGAGCUCGCAGAGUCAGGCCACCCCGGGUGAGACAAUAGCGGGAGCAGCAGGCGAGAGAGGGGAAGCCAUCUCCCGGACACCCGGCGCACUGCACGGCGACGCGACGCUCGGCCAGACCCUGCCUGGACAGGCAGGCACCAGGCUGCCGGCUCCAGCCGCAGC